GCAUUGAUGGUGUAGCGGUAACAUUGGGUCUUCCCACUCAGGUUGUGAUUGGUGAUGCAAUUGGCCUAGCUCCGGGUUCGACUCCCGGUCAAUGCA